CAUGCAAGUCGAACGGAAAGGCCCUUCGGGGUACUCGAGUGGCGAACGGGUGAGUAACACGUGGGUGAUCUGCCCUGCACUUUGGGAUAAGCCUGGGAAACUGGGUCUAAUACCGAAUAGGACUCCGGACUGCAUGGUCUGGGGUGGAAAGCUUUUGCGGUGUGGGAUGGGCCCGCGGCCUAUCAGCUUGUUGGUGGGUGAUGGCCUACCAAGGCGACGACGGGUAGCCGGCCUGAGAGGGUGACCGGCCACACUGGGACUGAGAUACGGCCCAGACUCCUACGGGAGGCAGCAGUGGGGAAUAUUGCACAAUGGGCGCAAGCCUGAUGCAGCGACGCCGCGUGGGGGAUGACGGCCUUCGGGUUGUAAACCUCUUUCAGCACAGACGAAGCGUAAGUGACGGUAUGUGCAGAAGAAGCACCGGCCAACUACGUGCCAGCAGCCGCGGUAAUACGUAGGGUGCGAGCGUUGUCCGGAAUUACUGGGCGUAAAGAGCUCGUAGGUGGUUUGUCGCGUUGUUCGUGAAAACUCACA
rnacentral:rRNA from 1 species